rnacentral:rRNA from 1 species
UGGGGAAUAUUGGACAAUGGGCGCAAGCCUGUUCCAGCCAUGCCGCGUGAGUGAUGAAGGCUCUAGGGUUGUAAAGCUCUUUCACCGGUGAAGAUAAUGACGGUAACCGGAGAAGAAGCCCCGGCUAACUUCGUGCCAGCAGCCGCGGUAAUACGAAGGGGGCUAGCGUUGUUCGGAUUUACUGGGCGUAAAGCGCACGUAGGCGGACUUUUAAGUCAGGGGUGAAAUCCCGGGGCUCAACCCCGGAACUGCCUUUGAUACUGGAAGUCUUGAGUAUGGUAGAGGUGAGUGGAAUUCCGAGUGUAGAGGUGAAAUUCGUAGAUAUUCGGAGGAACACCAGUGGCGAAGGCGGCUCACUGGACCAUUACUGACGCUGAGGUGCGAAAGCGUGGGGAGCAAACAGG